GAAAUUGUCAUCACAACUAGGAGCAGAACUGAAUUCAAUCAGGCCGACACUGUGGUUUUUAAACCCCAGAACCAAAGUACUCCCAAAAACAAACCCGAAGAUGAAGUAGAUUCAAUGGGACAUUCUUCCUCU